UUUUCUCUCAUGUUAGUUGAAGAGGGAACUGAGCAUGAAGAUUCUUAGAAGAUUCUCAGAGACUGAGCCAGCUCUGGAAAUCAAUCAUUCUGGGCUGUGGAAGAAUCUUUAACGGCUUCUACAUAAAGUUCAGGAGACUUCUGAGAUGUCAAGGUGAAAGGAUCCUGCAGAUAUCCUCCAAAGUAACAUCUCCCCAUGAAGACCAAGUGGUGUGGAAGACAGAGCAUAUUAAUGUAGGACAGUUAACUAUUUCACUUGCUGCCAUGUCAGUGGGGAAGAUUUUUCCACCCAUUAAUGAGCCCCUUGCCAUGAUGAGAAGCAGUUCAUGGCCCCCAGAGUGAAGCCUGCAUCGUUGCUCUUCUGAAACAGGUUGUUGAGCAGCAUUUUUCAUGGAUUUUCACAGACACCGUGAUCAGUUCUUCCAGCAACAUACAAAGCAUUGAUUCGUUAAGAAAUCACCUCCCUGUUAAGUCAUCCAAAACCACUGUAAGGAAAAAUGGGAAAUUUUUUUGAAUUAAAAGAGUCAUAGAUACUAAAUAAAGAAUAAUUCCAUGCACUAACA
rnacentral:lncRNA from 1 species